UCCGCACCGAGCAAGGAAACACGCCGCCAGCCUCACCUACGGUGCCGCAAAACGCAGGCGCAUUUACUGCACUUUACGACUAGCCGGAGAGGGGUGAAGAGAAACAUAAGUCACCAUCCGUACCAUCUGGAGGUUAUGUUCAAGUAGAGAAGACAGUAUCAAUACCUGUGCUCUGUAGGGAUAACACAAUAUAUGCGGUGAUACAUGCUGUAAUAGAGGUAACACCUGGAAGCUCUUUCUGGAUGCUUGAUGGCUUAGAAAAUUGGUCACCAGAUAACUAAAGUUUAUUUAUGUCAUGGUUUGCAGAGACUAUAUUGGUGGAAUGUUUUCCAGGGAGCUCAACAUGUUGAAGAUGGGACAGCAUUGUAGAUGGCCUUGAUCCUUACAAACAUAUACCAGAUCGAAGAUUACUUGAUGAGCAUAAAAUCCAAACAGACAAAUGGGUAUAAUCACCUAGAUGCUGGCAAGACAUGAGGAAAAUAUCUGCCUUCUGUACAGCAGACUAUUAUCGUUAAUGAGCCUUUCUGAACCCUGUUUUAUGGACCGACCUUUUUGUAUUUUUUCUAUUCAUUGAAAGCACGGUUUAAGCUGCAGUCGGGGUGCUGUUUCUGAAGGUGUGGAAGAGUUCAGCCUCAUCCCAUGCGUGGAUACAUUUGACCAACUGGCAGUCCUCCUAGGUUCAUCCCUUUAUUGUAGUCUGUGUUUUAAGUUUUGAUGUUUUCUCAUUAUUCUUUUUUUGUACUGCUAAAAAUACCAUAAUUUUACUACUAAUAAUAAAAAAAGAUUCUAGCUACUACACAAAAAAAUGUGUUUCAGGUUAGUUUGUUGGCUGGAACUACAGUGGCACUCAUAUAACACUUCUGCGAUCUCCACUUUACUUGUACAAGGAUGCAUCUAGUUACCCAAGUCAAAGACUGGAGUCGUACUGGGUGCUCUCUUACCCCUCAAUUAAUUGCUAUGUCUUGUCAUUUCUGUCUCCUACAUAUCUCUUGAAUCUUUCCAAUACUCUCCAUGCCUUCUGUAGCUCAAGCUUUAAUUCUGGCAUUUGUCAUUUUCACCUGCACUAUGGAGUAGCCUCCUAACUAGUCUGCCCAUCUCAAGUAUUGCCCUAAACCAUCCUUUACACUGCAACAGUGUUUUCUCUAAAAGUAAAUUUCAUUAUGUAGUCUCUGUAAAAAUAUGCAGUUCUUCUGUAAUAUCACAUAAUAGUACAAAUUCCUUAGAAUAAUAUGUAGACUCUUCUUCUUUAGAUAUGGCCCAUCUUUCCGAUCCUUUCUCCAUUCUCCCAUUGCUUGUCUUUUACUCCAGCCAGGCUGACCUCACUUUCUAGAAGUCAGGUUUUUCUUGCCAUCACCAUUUUGCACAUUUUGCAAAUGCUGCUCCCACUCUCUAGAGAAACUCCACAAUCAUGUACCAGAUGGAUUCUUAGAGUCUGCUUAUUUUCAAGAGAAAUGUGCUUUGCUCCAGGAAGUUUUCCUUAGACUCAGGUAUAAAGUGGUACCUUUUCUAUAUGUUCCCUUCCCUACAUUUAGUAGCAUAUACCCUCUUAACAGUAAUUAUUCGCAGGUUCACCAAUGGAGUUUGUACUCCUGUGAAGUAGAGACAAUGUUCUUUUGACUUUUGCAACUGGCACAGUACCUGGAACACAGUAAUAAUAUUUCUUUUGAAUGAAUGAAAGAGAGUAGGCAUUUGAUAUUCUGGAUUUCAUUUCUUAGUUUGCAAACAACCUUGAAGAUCCAUCACAUGUGGUGAUUUGUAAUUUGCAGAGACAUAAAUUCGAAUCAAGUGCUCUGUGGGGUUGGUGUGCAGGAAUGAGCCACUCACCUUGUAAGGAUUCUUGCCAGCUACCUAACACCAUCAUUUCAGAGUGGCUUUGUUUUUUUCUUCAUGCAAACUGCCAAAGUUCUACUGUAAAACUUUAGGUAUAGGAUUACUUCGUUUGGCUUUCAUAGAUUGUUUUUAUGAAACC